AUAACUCCUUUUUAACUCCUUUAGCCCGACUUCCACUACUCCACUCUUUUAACCAGUCAGUCUAGAAACCUCUUUCUUUCUGACUCCGAUCAAUCUCUCUCUCUCUCUCUCUCUCUCUCUCUCUCUCUGUGUCUGGCCAAAUGCAUCCCCAAAACCACCAAACUCAAUACGACUCCUCACUUGACCCAGACCAUCCUCAGCUCCCAACCAUCAAAAUUCAUCACCCGGCCUCCCCUCGCCACCAUUCUGCCACGUCGGCGGCCACUCCGACGCCCACCGCCGGGGCCCGCCGCAAGAUUGGAGUGGCAGUCGAUCUCUCGGACGAGUCGGCCUACGCCGUGCGCUGGGCCGUGAAUCACUACAUACGACCCGGCGACGCCGUGAUCCUCCUUCAUGUCAGUCCCACUUCGGUCCUCUUCGGGGCCGACUGGGGCUCCAUUGACCACUCGAUCUCCCCCGCCGAUGUGGACGACAGCCACGGCGUUGUCUCCUCCACGGGCACCAAGGUGCCUGAGCAGAAGCUGGUGGACGACUUCGACGCGUUCACUGCUUCGAAGGCCGCCGAUAUCGCGAGGCCGCUGAGGGAGGCGCAGAUCCCGUACAAGAUCCACAUCGUGAAGGACCACGACAUGAGGGAGAGGCUGUGCCUGGAGGUCGAGAGACUCGGCCUGAAUGCGGUGAUCAUGGGGAGCAGGGGGUUCGGUGCGGCGCGCCGCGGCAGCGACGGUAGACUCGGCAGCGUCAGCGACUACUGUGUCCACCACUGCGUCUGUCCUGUCGUCGUGGUGCGGUACCCCGAAGACAAGGACGCCGGCGACGGCGCCGAUGCUGGUGCCCGAGCUGUGGCGGUCGUGAAGCAGCCGGAAGAGGGAGAGGAGGAGAGGAACGAUCGGAAAGAUGCUUAGUAGGUAGAUGGUGUCAUGGCUUGAUCCUCUCAACUGCAGGAAGCAUAGAAGGCAUCUGAUUCAAUCAGGAUCAGCUGACACACUGAAGAAUGAAUGUUUUGUUCUUGGUUGCUGAAACCUUUGCUAAAAAGGCGGAUUGUAGAGAUUGAUCAAAUUCACUGUUGAGUCGGCGUUCUUUCUUGGCAGCUGAGGAUGAGUGAUCUUGCGGCUUUGUUUGUUUGUGUUUUGUGGGGUUUUUUCUUUUUUAUUUGAAGAAGUGUUAACGAUGUGAUUGCAAAAACUGUUUUCGUGUGUUUUUUUGUUGUUUGUUAAUAUGUUUUUGUUUUGAGAAAGAAAACAAAGGACAAAAUACUAUGAAUUGCUCGGCAAAAAGGGUAGUGGAACUGACAUGGACAUGGAAAUGACAUGACAUCAUCACAUGCUACACUUCAUUAUACAUAUUAAUAUUAUUGCAAUUUAUAUUAAAUUGAACCUGGAAGAAUUUGGGUGCUUUAUCUGGAAAGAGCAAAUGAAAGUACAGGAAGAAUGCUUUGCUUUA